rnacentral:lncRNA from 1 species
CUGCAUCAGACAGAUGGGAGCCCCAGAUAGAAUUUAAGUCCACUUUACGGGAAACUUGAAAAGUUACAAUUUUGUAUACUUGAGUUAGUGACUAUAAAAUUCAUACCAUCCAAACUGUAAUAGCUUGAAUGCACAAGGGCAUUUACUGUCUUCUGUCUCGACAGGUGUAUGGAUAAGCCCUCUGUUAUCUCAUUCGAUUCUACUCCUGAAGACACCUUUUAUAUUUAGGUCUGUGAUCUAUU